CCGCACGUCCGUCUCUAGUCCUGGCCGCGGGGCAGUCCGUGCCAUUGAGUUUGCCGGCCGUGACCUCGCUUUGCUCCUCGCGUCGUUGCUCGCCGAGUCUUUUCUCAGUCCGCGAUCUCUCCCUGCCCGUCGUUGCAUCGUUUGUCGUCGUGUGUGCAGCAACGUCGCUGAUUCCUCCGUAGUGCCUAUCGACAAACUUCGCUUCAUCGGUUUAUCGCCUUCGGUUCGGCUCACAUGUGGCCGCCGAACGCGUUCGCCUCUUAACCCCGUGUCGUUAGAGCUCGUGAUCUCGCUGUCGUCAGAGUCCUCACUGAAUUCAUGUCCUCACCAGCUCGCUCCAGACUUCAAUCGAAGGUCAUCAUCGUUCGUGCAUCCCCAAGAAAUCCCAAGCGUCGGGUGAAGACGAAGCUAGCCGGGUGAUAUUCACCAAGUGCUCGACAAAAGCUCGAACCAGUCGUCGAUUUCGUGGUUUCAAGUCGAAUGUCAUAAGGGUAAGUUAAUUCGUAUUCCAGUCAAUUAGGUCUAUAAAUAGAUUAAAUAGAAUUGUUGGUCGCAAUAAAUGUUAUUAAUUUAGCAUGCAUAUAUUGUGAUGAUCGAUUUAGAUAAAUAGGUAAAUCAAGUAAUUAAGAUACACAGUUAAAGAGUUAAUAAAAAGCUAGGAAUAAAAAUAGAUGUCCUAGUGUUAUUAUGUCAAUUUGGUUAGUGGAUGUAGUCGAUGCCCUGCUAUGAUAUCCAUGAUGCUUAAUGCUUGAUUUUAAGUGUUUCAUCCUUUCUAGUAUAGAUUAUCUAUAUUAUACUCAUUAUACUCGUGCUCAUACAUGUGCAUCAUGCAUCUCAUGAGGUACGAUAAUUAAUCACGUGAUGCGGAAGACGACCCAAGUCGACCCCAAGCGCGGGCUACUCCGCAUGGCGAUGCUAAUGGACGAACCUGCCUGAUCAAGUGCCAGGACAAGGAUGAUAGUCAAGUGGACGUCGCCUAACAAACACUAACCUAGUGUUAUUCAGGCAAGCCCCGGUGCAUUCGCCACCUCCUUGUGUUUUAAAAUCUUUAUCACCUUAUUUGAUGCAUUAGGUGAUAGGAGUUGUGUGCUAAACCGUUGAUGCAUUUCCUUCCUUGAAAAAUUGAUUACCCUUCCUUGAUACCCUUUUUGAAAAAGAAUUUUAUGAUGCUUAGCCUUGCUUUAGCAAACAAAAAUGUUUUGUUUUCAAACAAAAGUGAUGCUUCAGUGGGUGGGAAUGUUUUCAAAAAGAAAAACUUGUGAUGGUGGAUCCAUCAAGGCCUUAAUGGGUUCAACAUCGGAAAAGAUGUACCUCUGCCAGGUACCAGACUUUGGGUUGAAAUUAAUAAAGGUGAGACCGGGCGGUUGACUUGCACGAGAAAGGAGUCUCGGUGUAGUGUCUCCGUUUGAGUCGAUUAAGGACCGUGUCGAUGUGGGCUUGAUGAUCGAGGACCCUUUAACUGGUCACAUGCCUCAUCAUGGGUAAGCUUUACCUCGGGCAGACUAAUACCUGAAUAAGAUAACACGCAAUGGGAGUGGAGAGAUGGCGAGAGUAGCGUGUACCCUCCGUGGCAAGAGGCUGGACGGUGGUGUAUCUGUGCUUGUAAGUGCAAUCAACCCUAAUUUAGGGUUUUGGUGAUUAAUGACAAAACAAACUAAGAUUCUAACAAGUUUGCUCCUAGUGUGUACACAGUAUUUUUACAGACAGGAGAAGCACAGAUCCUACGAGCAUAAAAGUAUAAAGCACAGCGGAUUUAAAAUUCCACAUCAAAUGGCGUGCUCCAAGUGCUAUGAAUCGUCGGCGGUACUAAGUUUAUAAUUCUUGAGUCAUAGGAAUCGCCGUACAAUUAAGAGGGAUCCGCGACGGUUAAGUAAGUUAUGAAACGAGCCAAGUUCAAUUCUUUUGAAAACUCCUUGAGAUCAUCUUUUCCCAGAUCAUGAAUGCUCUUGAGAAAAACAAAUUUCACUUCCCACAAAGUCUCCACCUAAGUUCUCUUCAAAAUUCUCAAAGUUUGGUUUCAGCCCCCAAAACCGGUUCAACCGGUCCCCAAACCGGUUCAACCGGUUUUGGUACUGUUCAUCCUGCCACCUCUGCUCUGACCUGUCUGACAGUCAGAGCUGUCAGAAAAGUCGGAGCAGAUAUUUUUCUGAAACCGGUUGAGCCGAAUUUUGACCCUACUCAGCCGGUUUUGAAACCGGUCCAGUGUCCGGCUGAGUAGACCAGUGGACCGGGAUCCCCCUGGUAGAAACCGGUUCAACCGGUUUGGAAACCGGUUCAACCGGUUUUUGCCCUCUUUCUCCCAACGGCUGCCAGCUUUUGGGGGAUCCUUUAUAUACCCCCUCACACUCUCUCUCUCAUUUACUUCUGCCUCUCCCACGAAUCUUUGGCUGACCAACCCUCAAACAAGAGCAUUCACUUCACCUCUCACACCCGCAAUCUCAUCUCCUUCAAUCAUUUGAAGGACCCUUGGUGUGAGGUGAACUCGAUCGAACUCGCUUUCAAUUUCAUCUCGAUUCUCCCAUUCUCUUGUUCUUGAGCUCGUUGCAAACUUAACCGUGUGCGGAUUUGUUACUCUUGGAACCUCGUGUUCCUUGACGGUUAGAGGUUGCUUGGGAGUCUCCAAAUUUGUGGACGACCCCAAGAAGUUUGUAUCACCCGCUCCUUGAGCAGAUUUGAGAAGAGAUUGCCUUGACCUUUGUGGUCGGCUUGUGGAGGAUUAGGGUUGGAAAAGACCCGGCCCUUUGUGGGUUCCUCAACGAGGAGUAGGACACCUUUGUGGUGGUUGCCGAACCUCGGGUUAUAUCGCGUGUUCUUGUGUGUUCUUGUUAAACAUUUCAUAUUCGGUGGUUGGUUCAUAUUAUUCAUUCAAGUAGUUCUUGUGUAGGGCAAACCUUUAGCUAUUUUCUUUACUACUUCGAAUUUGUUCAAUAAAUUAUUAAAUUCAAGUUGAGUGGGUUCAAACUUGUUCAGUUGUGAUUAAAAUCGACUGAACCGGUUUGCACCCGUGCAACUUUAAUUUAACCUAUUUCGAAGUUUUUAGUGAAAAUUUUCAGGUGUAGCCUAUUCACCCCCCCCUCUAGGCUACUUUCAAUUGGUAUCAGAGCUUCGUGCCUCGUUUUACGCUUAACCGCGUGAGGAAACGAUCAUGUCUACACAACGGGACCAUGUGGAUCCUAUUCUCGAGGAAAUCCCCGUCACAUCUUCUGGUGAGGAAGUGGACCCCAAGGUCCUCGACCUCGCCAUGAAGAUUGCCGAGAAAAUGUUCCUCAAAAUGAAAGAGGAAGAUGCUAGGAAAAAGGCCGAAGAAGAGGAAACAAGAAGAAAGGCCGAAGAAGGUAAAGGUAAGGGAACAUUUGAUUAUAAUGACGAUCUAGUGGAUCUUUUGGUGUCUAAGGUAUUGAGCAAGGUAAGUCUCAACACCGAAGGAUCAUCUACCAAAAGCAAAGGUAAUGACUUUAGUAAAGUUCAAUUCGAUUACUCUAGAAAUUAUAUUCCCAACUUCUCUUCCGCCCCACUUGGAAAGUUACCAACUCUUAGUGAGUUGAACUAUGAUGAGUGGGCCGACAAGAUGAAGUCGCAUUUAAUCGGUGUGCAUCCUAGUCUUUGGGAGAUUGUUAAUGUAGGUAUGUAUAAGCCCGCCCAAGGAGAAGAGAUGACUCCGGAAAUGAUGCAAUAGGUUCAUCGAAAUGCUCAAGCAGUGAGCAUAAUCAAAGGAAGUCUUUGUCCGGAAGAAUACCGGAAAGUUCAAGGAAGAGAAGAUGCUCGUGACAUUUGGAACAUUCUUAGAAUGUCACAUGAAGGAGAUCCCAAAGCUAAAAGACAUAGAGUUGAAGCUUUGGAAAGUGAGCUUGCAAGGUAUGAUUGGACAAAGGGUGAGUCGCUCCAAUCACUCUUUGAUCGAUUGAUGGUAUUGGUCAACAAAAUAAGAGUACUUGGGAGUGAAGAUUGGAGUGACUCCAAGGUCACAAGAUUGUUCAUGAGAGCUUAUAAAGAGAAAGAUAAAAGUCUUGCAAGGAUGAUAAGGGAUCGUGAUGAUUAUGAGGAUAUGACGCCUCAUCAACUAUUUGCAAAAAUUCAACAACACGAGUCCGAGGAAGCCCCCAUCAAGACAAGAGACUCUCAUGCCUUGAUCACAAAUGAACAAGACAAUCUCAAGAAGAGCAAAGACCACAAAGCAAAGAAAGUGGUCGAGACCUCAAGUGAUGAAGAUAGCUCAAGUGAUGAAGACACAGCUAUGUUCAUCAAAACUUUCAAGAAAUUUGUAAGGAAGAAUGACAAGUUCCAAAGGAAAGGAAAGAAGAGGGCAUGCUAUGAAUGUGGCCAAACCGGUCAUUUCAUAGCGGAUUGUCCUAACAAGAAGGAACAAGAAGCCAAGAAGGAAUACAAGAAGGAUAAGUUUAAAAAAGGAGGCAAGACCAAGGGAUACUUCAAGAAGAAGAAGUAUGGACAAGCUCAUAUUGGUGAAGAAUGGAACUCCGAUGAUGAGAGUUCUAGCUCCGAGGAAGAGGAAGUGGUGGCAAAUGUGGCCAUCCAAUCUACCUCAAGCGCGCAACUCUUCACCAACCUUCAAGACGACUCCUACAUUCCAACUUGCCUCAUGGCAAAGGGAGAUAAGGUAACUUUGUUUAGUAAUGAUUUUUCAAAUGAUGAUGAUGAUGAUCAAAUUGCCAUGAAAAAUAAAAUGAUUAAAGAAUUUGGCUUAAAUGGAUACAAUGUUAUCACAAAAUUAAUGGAAAAGCUAGAUAAAAGAAAGGCAACUCUUGAUGCUCAAGAAGACUUGCUUAUCCUUGAAAAGGAAAGAAACCUAGAGCUUCAAGAGUUGAUUCACAAUAAAGAUAUAGAAGUAAUUAACUUGAAAACCUCUAUUGAUAACCUUGCAAAUGAAAAGAGUGCACUUGAAUCAAGCAUGUCAAGCUUGAAUGUUCAAAAUCAAGAACUUCAAGUGCAACUUGAAAGUUGCAAGAACAUCAAUGCCCCCACUUUAGUUUUUGAAUCUAAGUCUAGCUCUAAUGAUAAUUCUUGCAAGCAUUGUGCCAAAUAUCAUGCUUCUUGUUGUCUAACUAACCAUGCAAGGAAGCAAAGCCCACAGGUGAAGGUUAAAGAAAUUUUGAAAAGAUGCUCUAGCAAUGAUGGGUUAAAGAAAGUUGAACCCAAGUACAAGUCCCUUAAGCCCAACAAGGGUAGAAGGGGGCUUGGGUUCAACUCAUCCAAGGAAAACCCUAGCACAGUGCAUAAGGGGUGGAGAUCCCCCAAGUUCAUAGAGGGAACCACUCUAUAUGAUGCCUUGGGGAGGAUCCACUCCUCAAAUGACAAGUCAUCUCAGGUAAAGGUCAACUUGAGUUCCACAAAGAGUAAGAUGAAGGAAGUGGGAUCCUCAAGUGGACAAAAAUCUAAUGCUCCCAUUCCCCACUCAUAUCUUUGUGAUUAUAUGUUAACCUGGGAUUCAGGGAAAUUAGUUGUGAAAUAUGUGGGUGCCUACACUAAACAAAAAGCCAUGAAAAGAAGUGUGUGGGUACCCAAGGCUAUAACUAACACUGUAGGACCCAAUUCAAUUUGGGUACCUAAAAGUAUAGCCUAAACUUGUUUUGCAGGUCUACUCCUCUGGUGGGUCAAGUUGGGUGCUUGACAGUGGAUGUACAAAUCACAUGACCGGGGAGAAAGACAUGUUUCAUACAUUGCAACUAACUCAAGAAGCACAAGAAAUUGUGUUUGGAGAUAGUGGCAAGAGUAAGGUGAUUGGUAUUGGUAAAAUUCCUAUCUCUGACCAACAAUCACUUUCAAAUGUUUUAUUAGUAGAUUCCUUGAGCUAUAAUUUGUUGUCCGUUUCACAACUUUGUGGAAUGGGUUAUAAUUGCUUAUUUUCGGAUGUGGAUGUGAAAAUCCUUAGAAGGGAGGACUCCUCAGUUGCCUUUACAGGUCGCUUGAAGGGUAAGCUUUAUCUUGUUGAUUUCACAACAAGUAAAGUGACGCCUGAGACUUGUUUAGUGGCAAAAUCCGACAAGGGUUGGCUAUGGCAUCGCCGGCUAGCCCAUGUCGGUAUGAGGAAUUUGGCCAAACUUCAAAAGGAUAAUCACAUCAUUGGACUAACAAAUGUUGUAUUUGAGAAAGAUAGGGUUUGUGGCGCAUGCCAAGCAGGAAAGCAACAUGGAGUCCCACAUCAAUCAAAGAAUGUGGUCACAACAAAGAGGCCAUUGGAGCUUCUUCACAUGGACCUCUUCGGACCUGUGGCCUACAUUAGCAUUGGUGGUAGUAAGUAUGGUUUAGUUAUUGUUGAUGAUUUUUCUCGAUUCACUUGGGUUUUCUUUUUGAGUGACAAAGGUGAAACUCAAGAAAUCUUAAAGAAAUUCAUGAGGAGAGCUCAAAAUGAAUUUGAGCUCAAAAUCAAGAAAGUGAGAAGCGAUAAUGGGACGGAAUUCAAGAACACAGGUGUCGAAGAAUUCUUAGGAGAAGAGGGAAUCAAGCAUGAGUUCUCGGUGCCUUACACUCCACAACAAAAUGGUGUUGUGGAAAGAAAGAACCGGACUCUAAUUGAAGCUGCAAGAACCAUGUUGGAUGAAUACAAGACACCUGACAACUUCUGGGCAGAGGCGGUCAACACCGCCUGUCAUGCAAUCAACCGCCUCUAUCUUCAUAAGAUCUACAAAAAGACUGCCUAUGAGCUUCUCACUGGUAACAAACCUAAAGUUGAUUAUUUUAGAGUAUUCGGUUGUAAAUGUUUUAUUCUUAACAAGAAAGUCAAGAGCUCAAAGUUUGCUCCUAGAGUGGACGAGGGUUUCUUGCUUGGUUAUGCAUCAAAUGCGCAUGGAUAUCGUGUUUUCAACAAUUCCACCGGUCUUAUUGAAAUAGCGAUAGACGUGACAUUUGAUGAGUCUAAUGGCUCGCAAGGGCAUGUUUCUAAUGACACUGCAGGAAAUGAAAAACUACCUUGUGAGGCCAUAAAGAAACUUGCCAUAGGUGAGGUGAGACCUCAAGAAAGGAAUGAUGAAGAAGGAACCUUGUGGAUGACCAAUGAGGUAGUUGAUGUGGGUGCAAGGGUGGUGAGUGACAGUGUCUCCACCCAAGCAAACCCAUCAACCUCAAGUCAUCCAAACCACGAAGAAAAUCAUCAAAGGAUGCCAACAGUGGUAGAAGAUGAACAAGAAAAUAUUGAUGGUGAAGUGCCUCUUGAUCAAGUAACUGAUGAGGAAGAGCAAAUACAAAGGCAUCCAUCAGUGCCUCAUCCAAGAGUCCAUCAUUCAAUUCAAAGGGAUCAUCCGGUGGACAACAUCCUGGGUAGCAUCAGGAGAGGGGUAACGACUCGAUCUCGUUUAGCUAAUUUUUGUGAAUUUUACUCGUUUGUUUCCUCUCUUGAGCCACUUAAGGUUGAAGAAGCAUUGGGUGAUCCGGAUUGGAUAACUGCGAUGCAAGAGGAGUUGAACAACUUCACUAGGAAUGAAGUCUGGUCCUUAGUCCAAAGACCCAAACAAAAUGUGAUUGGGACUAAAUGGGUCUUUAGGAACAAGCAAGAUGAAAAUGGCGUUGUUACAAGAAACAAGGCAAGGUUGGUUGCCCAAGGCUAUACUCAAGUGGAAGGACUUGACUUUGGUGAAACAUAUGCGCCGGUAGCAAGGUUAGAAUCAAUUAGAAUAUUAAUUGCCUAUGCUACUAACCAUGAUUUCAAGCUAUAUCAAAUGGAUGUCAAGAGCGCUUUUCUAAAUGGACCACUACAAGAAAGAGUAUAUGUGGAGCAACCACCGGGCUUCGAAGACCCAAAGAAGCCAAAUCAUGUUUAUCUUCUUCACAAGGCACUCUACGGGCUUAAACAAGCCCCUAGAGCUUGGUAUGAUUGUCUUAAAGAUUUUCUAAUUAAAAAUAGGUUUACAAUAGGAAAAGCUGACUCUACUUUGUUUACUCGAAAAGUUGAUAAUGAAUUAUUUGUGUGCCAAAUAUAUGUUGAUGACAUUAUAUUUGGUAGUACUAAUGAAAAGUUUUGUGAAGAGUUUAGCAAAGUAAUGACGAACAGGUUUGAGAUGUCUAUGAUGGGCGAGCUUAAGUACUUCCUGGGAUUUCAAGUCAAACAACUCAAGGAAGGUACCUUUUUAUGCCAAACUAAAUAUACUCAAGAUAUGCUCAAGAAGUUUGGCAUGGAAAAAGCAAAGCACGCCAAGACUCCAAUGUCAUCAAAUGGACAUCUCGACCUAAAUGAGGAAGGUAAACCUGUAGAUCAAAAAUUAUAUAGAUCAAUGAUAGGAUCACUGCUUUACUUAUGUGCAUCUAGGCCUGAUAUUAUGUUGAGUGUUUGUAUGUGUGCACGAUUUCAAGCAAAUCCUAAAGACUGUCAUCUUGUAGCCGUUAAGAGAAUUCUAAGAUACUUAGUCCACACCCAAAACCUAGGAUUAUGGUAUCCUAAAGGCUCCUUUUUCGAUUUGCUUGGCUAUUCUGACUCAGAUUAUGCCGGUUGCAAAGUAGAUCGAAAAAGCACUACUGGGACUUGCCAAUUCCUUGGGCGGUCCUUAGUGUCAUGGAGUUCCAAGAAACAAAAUUGUGUUGCACUCUCCACUGCAGAAGCUGAAUACAUAGCAGCUGGGGCAUGUUGUGCACAGUUGUUAUGGAUGAAGCAAACCCUUAGAGAUUUUGGUUGUGAGUUUAACAAAAUCCCUCUUUUGUGUGACAAUGAGAGUGCCAUAAAACUUGCAAACAAUCCAGUGCAACACUCUAGAACUAAACAUAUUGACAUUAGACACCAUUUCUUGAGAGACCAUGAAGCCAAAGGAGAUAUCGAACUUUUUCAUGUGAGCACCGAAAAUCAACUAGCCGAUAUCUUCACAAAACCCCUUGAUGAGACUAGGUUUUGUUUUCUUAGGAGUGAGCUAAAUAUCUUGGAUUCUCGAAACGUGACUUAAUAACUAAAAUUUUGAUCAAAUUUGAUGAUUGAAAAUUGUUUGUUUGAGCAAUAUGAAUUGAGAAAUGUCAUUUUUAUCUUUAUAAUAUCUCAUGUCAUAUUUGCUAAGUGAUAUUACAGCUCUUCCGGGCAAUAUUUGAAAUCUGGUUGAGUAAACCGGCUGAGUAGGCCACUCAACCGGUUUCUUCCUGGUGGAAACCGGUUGAACCGGUCUAAAAACCGGUUGAACAGGUUUUGGCCGUCGCGACGUCAGUCCGCGCGCAGUCUGCGCUGACAGCUGCGCAGUCUGCGCUGUCAGUUUUGCAGUCUGUGCUGUCAGACUGCCAAGUUUUGCGCGCAGUCAACACUGUUUUCUGCGCGCUUUUACUGCGCCGUUUGACCCGAAACCGGUUGAACCGGUUUUGAAACCGGUUGAACCGGUUUGCGGCUUUCUGGCGGCCGACUCCUCCCCUUUUUAUACCUCUCCCUCUCUUCUCUUCCCUUCUCAGCCUUGUUUCCAGCCGCCGCCGCCACUCCUGUUUUUCCUCUCUCCUCUCCAAACUCUCUCGUGCUCUCACCCGUUUGGAAGUGUGGUUGGAGAUCCGUUCUUCCCGGCGUGUUUCCACCAUCUUCCUCCUUCUCGUUUGGAGAUCUUGACCCCCAUCUUCGGAUCGAGGUACUGUUCUAUGUUAUUUCCUUGUACUCGAUCCUACGCGUUCUUGAUUAUCUUAUGUAUCAUUCGUUGGGUACAUUUUGGUUUAAGUGAUUGCAACACUUAGGCUAUCUUCAUUUUGUCACAAACACUGUUUGAGAUUAGCGAUUUGAUAUUGUUCAUUGUAGUUGAACCGCUCAUAUGAACGGUUGAAGUGCAUGAUUCAAUCUCUUAUGCGUUUCUUCUCAAACGUGGUUGAUCCUUGCUCAUCAUAGGUUCUAUCUCUUAUUUCUUAGAAUGGUGCGACGAAGGAACCCAGCAGUGGUAGAAUCCGACUCUUCAGAUGAACAGGAGAUCCAUGGUGAUACCCCUCCUCGCUCUCGAUCCAAGCGAGGGCGCGGAUGUGGAAAUGUCAUGCUGGGUACUGAGGCCUCUGGGUCUCAAAGUGCUCGGGGUCGGACUUCCCGGACUCCCUCCGGUAGGUCUCGACCUGCCACGAAUCCGCAGGCAUGGGAGCCUGCAAGUGACGAUGACGGUGGGAAGGACGAUGAAGCUGAUCUUCCCCCGGCAUCGGCUCCUGUGAUUCGCGGCUUGGUGCUCCACCGGGCCGAAGCUCGGCGUGCUGGCAAUGAGCCAGUCACGGAUUUCACGGCCAGUGGAGGAUCUGCACUUCUCCAGGAUCUGCGUUUCCAAAAUCCGGUAUUGCGUAUUCGCGAUGCCAGGAUCGAUGGAAAUCGUUUCUGGACUCUUCACCAUGUUGAUUUCUAUAAUUCAGUUAUUCUACCCAAGAAGCAUCAGCCCAUCCUUCAUCAACGUUACAUUAACUGGGAGGGUUGCGAAGCAAUUGGAGACCCAGAGAUGUCACAGGCACUGAGGGCCUGUGAAAGGAAGCAAAUGAAGAACAUCAUGACAUUCCAAUAUGAUUGGAAUGAUGAAGUGAUUGCACAAUUUUAUUCCACUCUCUGGAUAAAGCUGGCUGAUGAGGAGAGCCAUUACAACUACCCCUACCUGAACUUCUUCAUUGAAGGUAGUUGGUACAAGGUGAGCUAUCGUAGAUUUGCUCACAUUCUUGGUUUUUCUGACGAGGACAUAUCUGGAGACAGGAUUAAGAUUCAUGAUUACCGUCAGCCCACAAGAGAUGAAGCCAAGGACCUUCAUUUGUCUGAGUCUGGAAAGUAUUGGGAGUCAACCAACAUUCACAAGUAUUAUCGCUAUAUCAACUCCCUCUGCAGGAUGACCCUCAUUCCAAAAGGGGGAAAUCAGAUGAACAUCCUUGGGGAGAGCAAGGUUUUGCUCUCUUUUAUGAAACCAAACAGCUCAGAAAGGAUUAAUGUCUUUGACAUGAUUUGGCAGGAGAUUAUUCAUGCAGCUUGCUUUCCUUUGAAGGGGUGUCUUCAUGCCCCAUUCAUUAUGAAGAUGAUUGAGGUCGUGACCCAAUUCAGAUUUGAGAAAGGCACCCGUCAUCAGUCAUACACUCCCUUCUGGAUUGAUCCCAACAAUCCAGCUGGGCGUCUCAGGAAAGCUCCCUCCAGUUCUCGUGGUCCUACAUCUGCUGGUCCGUCUGCCGGUGCUGGUGCUGCUGCUGCUGCUGGUGCCUCACGCCCUUCCCCUGGCCGCGGAUCUCCCACACCACGUGGUCGUGGUCGUGGUCGAGGUCGUGGACGUGGGAUGGGUGCCCGCCUGGCCCACGGAUUUGCGUCCUUCUUCUCUAUGUGCCGUAAUAUUGCUGCAGAUGUCCAUGAGGUGGCUCGACGUCAGCGGGAGACCGACGACAACCUUCGUCGUCAAGCUUCUGCUUUGGGUACUCCCUUCGCCCCUCGCUCUCCUGAUGUACCUCUUCACCCUCCUCCUCCAGAUGUGAAUGAGUGGUACCAGCAGGCGUAUGGGGUACCUUUCUCUUCAGCCGAUGACAUCGAAGAAGAAACUUAUGUUGAUGAUCCGGAGCAGUUUGACCCACCCCCAUAUCGCGGGGAUCCGGGUCAAUCGUCCUCUUACCCUCCGCCCCAGGACCCGUCUGGCAGUGCUCCUCCUCCGACCCAGUCUGGAGAGGAACAUUUUGCCUACGACCUGGCGCAACACCUCUUUGCUCCUCAUCAACCUCCUCCUCACUGGUGAUCCUUGACUUGACGCGUCUCUCUCUCUCUCUUUUUGGUUCUUGGUGCCAAAAAGGGGGAGAACGUUUACUAUUCAGUACUUUAUUUUUGUAAUGAACUCUUGGUCUGUAAUAACUCUAUUUGCUGCAUGCAUGGCUUGAGAGCCAUAAACACUUGAUGAUGGCUUGAGAGCCAUAAACACUUGAUGAUGUGUUGAGACGAGCUCUCACUAUUGUAAUAGCUGUAGACCUUUUUCAUAUCAUAUGCUAUGCAAUGAUGAGCUUGAAUGUGCUUUUACUUUUUAUAUUCAAUUAUGUUUCAUAUCUCAUCAUUUUUGUGUAUGGUGUCGAUUGUUCUCUCUCUCUAAAUAUGUUGCAAAUUGACAUAUCAAGUCAAUGUUAAUAUCGCAAAACUCAUGCACAUAUUUAGGGGGAGCUACAUAUACACAAAAGACUUUUAUCAAGUAUUUGUAACUUUUAAUUAUUAUUUCCAUUCUAGUUUGUUUUGGCAUCAAUCACCAAAAAGGGGGAGAUUGUAAGUGCAAUCAACCCUAAUUUAGGGUUUUGGUGAUUAAUGACAAAACAAACUAAGAUUCUAACAAGUUUGCUCCUAGUGUGUACACAGUAUUUUUACAGACAGGAGAAGCACAGAUCCUACGAGCAUAAAAGUAUAAAGCACAGCGGAUUUAAAAUUCCACAUCAAAUGGCGUGCUCCAAGUGCUAUGAAUCGUCGGCGGUACUAAGUUUAUAAUUCUUGAGUCAUAGGAAUCGCCGUACAAUUAAGAGGGAUCCGCGACGGUUAAGUAAGUUAUGAAACGAGCCAAGUUCAAUUCUUUUGAAAACUCCUUGAGAUCAUCUUUUCCCAGAUCAUGAAUGCUCUUGAGAAAAACAAAUUUCACUUCCCACAAAGUCUCCACCUAAGUUCUCUUCAAAAUUCUCAAAGUUUGGUUUCAGCCCCCAAAACCGGUUCAACCGGUCCCCAAACCGGUUCAACCGGUUUUGGUACUGUUCAUCCUGCCACCUCUGCUCUGACCUGUCUGACAGUCAGAGCUGUCAGAAAAGUCGGAGCAGAUAUUUUUCUGAAACCGGUUGAGCCGAAUUUUGACCCUACUCAGCCGGUUUUGAAACCGGUCCAGUGUCCGGCUGAGUAGACCAGUGGACCGGGAUCCCCCUGGUAGAAACCGGUUCAACCGGUUUGGAAACCGGUUCAACCGGUUUUUGCCCUCUUUCUCCCAACGACUGCCAGCUUUUGGGGGAUCCUUUAUAUACCCCCUCACACUCUCUCUCUCAUUUACUUCUGCCUCUCCCACGAAUCUUUGGCUGACCAACCCUCAAACAAGAGCAUUCACUUCACCUCUCACACCCGCAAUCUCAUCUCCUUCAAUCAUUUGAAGGACCCUUGGUGUGAGGUGAACUCGAUCGAACUCGCUUUCAAUUUCAUCUCGAUUCUCCCAUUCUCUUGUUCUUGAGCUCGUUGCAAACUUAACCGUGUGCGGAUUUGUUACUCUUGGAACCUCGUGUUCCUUGACGGUUAGAGGUUGCUUGGGAGUCUCCAAAUUUGUGGACGACCCCAAGAAGUUUGUAUCACCCGCUCCUUGAGCAGAUUUGAGAAGAGAUUGCCUUGACCUUUGUGGUCGGCUUGUGGAGGAUUAGGGUUGGAAAAGACCCGGCCCUUUGUGGGUUCCUCAACGAGGAGUAGGACACCUUUGUGGUGGUUGCCGAACCUCGGGUUAUAUCGCGUGUUCUUGUGUGUUCUUGUUAAACAUUUCAUAUUCGGUGGUUGGUUCAUAUUAUUCAUUCAAGUAGUUCUUGUGUAGGGCAAACCUUUAGCUAUUUUCUUUACUACUUCGAAUUUGUUCAAUAAAUUAUUAAAUUCAAGUUGAGUGGGUUCAAACUUGUUCAGUUGUGAUUAAAAUCGACUGAACCGGUUUGCACCCGUGCAACUUUAAUUUAACCUAUUUCGAAGUUUUUAGUGAAAAUUUUCAGGUGUAGCCUAUUCGCCCCCCCUCUAGGCUACUUUCAGUGCUCUCGGUUGGCGUGAACCUGAUCUGGUCUUAAGAACCCUGGUGGCGAGUUGACAUAUGCAAGGGUUAAGUGCUACAUAUGUCGUGUGAUUGGAGAUCCUCAGCUGAGUAUAAUCGAUUCGGAUCGUCGUAACUUUGCGGACAUGAAGACUUGGUCACUGCCCUACACGUAGCAUUCCAGUGAAUAAGAAGGGUUGUUAAGAAAUCGGCUAGUAUAAGCCAAGUGAUUGAACUAGGGUAGAAAGAACUCUAGAUGCAGUUAACUUUACUUAACCUGACAAUUAAAAAUGGAUGUUAAGGAUCCACUCAUCGUAAGCUUGUCUGCAAAACAGAGUCUUUGAUUCUUGAUAAUCCAUACCUUGAAUCCCUCUAGACAGCAUACCCUUGAGAUUCUUUUCUUUAGUCGGGUAAGUCUUGAUGAGUAAUUCUGUACUCAGGGUUUUAUUCCCUGUUGUUUUUCAGGUCAUAGUUUUGUGCUGCUGAUGAUGGUGUUAAGUGCCGGUGGGCUCGACCUUCUUAUAAGUCUAAGUAACCCUUCUAUACUUCUUAUUGAGGAUGGUCACUUGAGCUAGCAUAUAUUUCAAACUUAUACUUUUGUAACCACUCCUAUAAAAUAAUGUAAAAUUUUUGUAACUUGUAAAAUUUGGUAAUAAGAUUUCCGCUGCAAAAAUAUUGGUGUGUGUGAUUUGUGUUACUUAAUCUUGCGAUCCUGGUUGUAAGUGGUUUAUCCGGGGUCCUUGGGACACUCGGACGGAUCCUGUUAAGUUAUCUGGUGCACAUGCAUAGCUGUCUGAAGUCUUUGAGACAAGGAUAGGUGCAUGUGGGCCUAAUAACUUGGGAGGUUCUGCCACAAUAACUCUCUAACCAGUGUUCGGACCACCUCAAUCUCUAUAUAGGAUUUGUAGAGUGUAGAUCAAGGAAAAUAUCUUCUACAGUGACCAAGAUCCGAAUCCAACGGGAAAAUGCCAAAAACGUCUGUCCAAAGUCAUUAUUGUAGCACGUGCCACCUGCUAGAGCUGGCUGACAUGUCCAGAGCUCCUUCUCUAUAAAAGGCAGCCCACCCCUGUCCCUUCUCCCACACAUCUCUUCCUCCUCGGGCUCCUCUCCCAAGCCACACCCUACACCUCCUCCUCUCCACGAGCACCCCAUGGUCGGCUCUUCCUCAGCUCCCCAUCCAUGGCGGCUUGGCUCUAGCUCCCUCCGCAUCUCCCUCAUGAGCUCACCUAGCACCUUGGCCAAGGGCCCCCUGCAGCAGCCCCUUCUCCUUCUCUCCCACGCCAUCUCCCUCUUGCUCAAGGCACAUGGAGCCGCCCCAUGGUGCCUCCUUCAGAAGUGAGCAGCAGGCGCCGAGCUCCAAACUACCUGUCCGUGGCUGAUGUUCGUAAGGUAGAAGAUGAUCCCUGUGACAAUGACGUGUGGGUCCUAGGACUAGUUCAUGUGUACACAAAAUGACAAAUCUGUGCCCUCCCUUACAAAAUUCGUAUCUUUUGUUUGAUAGCUCAUAAAAUCGUGAAAUUUGUUUUGUUGGCUUCCUUAUGAAAUGGUCUACCUAGUAGAUCUAUAAGUUGGCAUGUUUUAGAGGAAAAUUUCUACUGUAGAAAUUCGUAUUUAAAACUAGUUUAGGAAAUAAAUGAACUUGCUUCUCUCCAUGGUUUUAAUUUUAAAAAUCCAAAAAUGAUGAGACUUAUUUUUUUAGUUAGAUGGUGUCAUACUAUAGCUAGAAAAAAUAUAAAACUCAUAUGUUGUUUACUGUUUUCAUGGUGUAUUAGUUAAAUCUUGUUAAAUAGAAAAAAGAUGAUUGUUUUGCUUGUUAUUUUUGGAUCUGUAGCUCCAUUGCUCGAAAUGUCUUUAUGCUUUGGCAGUAGACUUCAUGUAUGAUGCUUGGUCACUGGUAAAAAGUCCAUGAUUUAUGGUGCAUGUAUCAUUGAGUUAGUGAUUUAACUUGCUUGAUGCACAUUAAGUAGUUUUAAAUGGUUUAUAAAUAAUAUAUGUAUGUAAAAAUGAAAAAUGGUGUUCCACAGUCCUUGCAUGAUAUUAUAGUAGCCUAAGAAAACUUAAUAUGGUCAUGCAUUCACAUAAAAUAAUUAGUUUUAGAUUUAACUUGCUAUCACAUGCUUUAUUGCAUUAACAAUUUGUUAUUUUUGUAUUAAAUACAAUAUAAAACCUGAGCAUGUGAAAUUUAUACAGUAGUCAUAAUUUUUUAUUACCUAUUCCUCAUAAAAAUUCUAGCCCCAAAUAAGAUAGUCUCAUAUGGUGCUAAAAUAAUAUCCAUUGUAUAAUUAUAAGAAGAGUCAGUGAAGGAUUUUGUAAGCAAACAUGCAUGUCUCUUGGAAUGUUUGAAUUAUACCUUAGUACAAAUUAGAGAUUAAAUGGUUGUGUCAUGAUAGUUUAGAGCAAAGUAUUAGUGGUGCUUCAUCAUAAUUUUGUGUAAUAUCGGACAUGUGUGCCGAAGUUCAUUAUUUUGGUGGAUGUGUUAAGUUCGAUCAAGUGUUUUGAAUGCAUGCUAUGAUAUGGUUGUAUUUGAAACUGAGAAGUAUAGGUAUUGCUCGAUAAUAAGGUUUGGUCAGUGUGGUUAGAAAUUGAUUUGGCUUGUAUAGAGAAGUGUCGACAUGUCGAAGUAGUCAUCGCUUCCUCUAUGCUCGUAAGUCGGAUCAAUGCAUGUUAUAUGUUCGUUGAAUUACGCUUCGCAUAUAGUGUAUGGUUGUAUUCGUAGAAGUAAAGUAGACACAUCGACCUUGAUUGGUGGAGCCCAGGUGAGAUGCAAGGUUACAUGGGAAAUGGAUUUAGAAUUCUUUCGACUAGUUAACAAGUUGGUUAGAGUUGUUGUGUUACCUUGGAUUGUGUGGCGAAGUGAUGGCAUGACUACGUAGCCACCAUGUCAUCUAUUGUGUGACCAUGCUUAAGUGUAACUCGAUAUAAAUUGCAAGUCGAUAAGUAAGUCAUGAUAAAUUAAACUGAGAAUUGGUGGUAGUAUCCCUCCAUGAUUUUGAUUGAUGAUUGAGUUGAGUGCUCUUGUGCUAGCAAACUGAAAUUCCUGCAUGUACAGUUUUGGUUGUGCGAGUAAUCUAGUAAAGUAAAGUAUGUUUUCUGUAGAUAUGUGCUAUAUAAAAGUUGUAGUUCACUUGUUUAUCUAGCUCGUCCUAAAAAUUCAUGAGCUAAGAAAUGAUGGUUUAGAAGUUAUGUUUUUCACAAGUUUAGUGACUGAAUCUGUCCAAUUUCUGUACAGAUUUCAGAGAUUGCAAUGGUUGUUUAAGUAAAUUUUAAAAUCGGUUUUUGAUGAUUUUAAGAAAGCUGUAGAUAACUUUCUUAUCUUGCUUUUGUUAAAAUUUCAUUACUAUAGGCCUGAUAGUUUAAGAGUUAUGAAUUUUACAAUAUGAUUGUUGUGUUUUGUCCACUGUCUGGACAUAUUUUGAAAACUCUAUUGUUUGAUUUGGUUAAACAUAGAAUCAUGUCACACCUGGUUUUAGAAGGUAAACCGAAUGCGAACCAUGUACGUGCCAGGAUUAGCAAUUCAUGUACACAACAGUUACAUAACUAGACAUCAUCACAAAGUGCUCAAAUAAUGACAUAAAAGAGGGUAUAAUAGUCAAUUACAUCAUGAUGUCCAAGACAUCCACAUAGUCUUUAACAAUAAUCAAAGUGCGGAAAAGAAACGUAGAUACACACGGCCUACACAGGCAGCCGACUGGGGGUUUACCGCUAACCCACGCCUAGAACUCAUCGUACUCUUGGAACUCCUGGAAGUCCUCCUCCACGACCUCAUCUUCACCUGAGCAGUGGUUGCAACGCUGACAACCUGGGGGGUUUGGUGUGUAAAGCAAGGGUGAGUACACAUCAACAUACUCAGCAAAAUGUCCCGUUUGGCUAUAGUGGACUAGCUUUAUGUGGAGUUAAGUCAAGCAGUUGCUUUUAGUUGGUCAGGUUAUUAUUUACUAGUAGAAAGCCAGGUUUUAGCAUUAACCCAAGUUAUUAACCCGAUGUAUCCUUUUCAAACGGAAAGAAUAUCACUUACCAGUACCAUAAGCAUAACCAAACUCAUCAUCCUCAUCACCACCUAUAAACCAUACAUCUCUGAUCAAGUAUCUCUAAUCAAUGGAGCUCCCUUGGACGCUCAUAACCGCGAGCACGGCUGAUAUAUCAGUUUCAUAAUACUCUGCAGAGGUUGCGCACUUUACCCACAAGCUGUGAUUCCCUCUUGCCUCGGGCCGAUCAAACCCUUAAACACUACCAAAGUGAACAGGCAGGGUCUCACUACGUAGCCUUUACAAAGAUUUUCUAGGGCUGUAGCCACCCGUUGGGUUUCCUAAAUGCACCGAACUCCUCCCCAAGGGGGCGAACCAACCUUGGCAGAGCGAGCCGCAUACACCGAGCCCCAUUAACGGAACGACGGCGAAGCGAACUACACCCCAGUUCCUCUAAUUACUCAACUAAGGGCGUCCCACUCCACCCUCAUGGUUGCACUGUUUUCCCGAGCGGUCAUCCAACGAACAGGUCCUUACGGAGAGGCACUCAAGAAAUAGCUCGAGUUCCCUUAAGGGCCACAAGUACCAUUAUCAUAAUCAAAAGGGAAAACAACGUAUCAUAGAUAUCUCAUCAUGUUCAUUGAUUAAUGUGAAGCACUAGCAUAAAGCUAAACUGAAAUAACCCAACCAGAAUAGGUAAACAAGGACAAGAUAGACAGAAGCUAGUCAAUCCUUAGGUAUAAACGGUGUAAAUGCGGGAGGUGAAUUAAUGAAUGUAUAGGACAUAAGUGGGUCAAGGGACACUUGCCUUCACCAACCAGCUGCUGCUCAGGGUCUUCACCUGCAACUCCUUCGGACUCCACCAACUGACCGUUCUCUAUACGAGUUCAAACAUACAUUCCACACAUUUAAUACAAAAGAACAGUACAUCAUACAAUAGAAUGCAAUAAUUAAACAGACGUUCGACGCAGCGCUCACACCUACGACUAAGUGAGAAAGAGAAAGUAACGGUCGAGAAGCGAUCACGUUACACAAUUAUAAAUUAAACUACUCGUUUAAAUAGAAUGGUAUUGUUGGGGGCCUUCGUCCUCCGAAGGUCCUCAAAAACAUGAUUUGACAAUGUUUUCCAAGUGAAUUAUAUGAACAGGUAUUUUCGGAUUCAGAAUUAUGGAUAUGGAGCACGACCAGGACGAAGGCUGAGCCAGACGAAGGUCGGGGGCAGCCGAAGCUGUACGCAGGGAAGCUUCGGCGCGAUGGCACAAGGGGGAACCGACCUUAAGACGAAAAGACUUCGGGGUCCUCAAUAGAUUUCCAUAAACCGUUAACAAAUGUAAUGGACAUGGAUGUAAUUUUACGUGGGCUGCGUCCCGCGUCUAUAAAUAGAUGAACAGUACUCCCGUACUGUUCACGCGAACUUGUCAUUUUGCUUUUGGCGUCACGCUCGUACUUUCCAUCUUCUCUCAGGAUCGAAGGUACAUUUGUAAUUUGGAAUCAUUUCUGUUUUUCCAUGUUAAUAAAAUAGAAAUGAUUCUUUGGUGAUGCUUAUAUCAUAUUUCAUGCUUUAUGUGAGUCCUUCGUCAUUAUGUGUUAUGAUUACGAAGGUAUGUUUCUCAUGACCUUCGUCCGAGACUCAUUAUUUCCCAAAGGGAUAUAACGCUUCGAAGGACGAAGGACCCUAACACUUAACACUUUUUAUGUUGCCUUGUUCUUAACUCUUAGAAUUUGAGAACAAGUCCCCAACAUUGGCGCCCACCUCCGGUGAACUCACUUCCACUUCGAGUCUUCGUGAACACCUUCGGAAGCUAUAGACCUUCGCUAUGGCGCCGAAGAAAGCUUCAGCGGCUGGGGCUGCAGCACUACAACCGCUGGACCACAACCAGGAGACCGUCUCUCUUCGGGAGGCCAGAAGCCAGAAGAGAAAAGCUGUUAGCCCGACGCUUGAGGAAGAAGAGCUGGACCAAGAAAUCAGAGAGAUGGAGAUGCUACAUCAACAAGUACAGAGGAAGAAGGAGAAGAUGGCCCGCCUAGCUGAGUUGCAAAGGCAAAUUGACGAAGCUUCUGAGGAAGUUCGCCAUCUUACUCACGAUGAGCAGAACAGAAGGCCUCAUCAGAAAGACCUUCAUCAGGAGGGCUUCGUCAACGAAGACGACUGGUAUGAUAAUUUCCAUCAGGGAAAUUUUGUUUUUGAUGAUGCUUCUCCUCUAUCUGCUGAGCUGCAGGCUACUCCUUGGCCUCCAUCCUAUAAGCCACCCCAGCUCCCCAUGUUUGACGGCCACUCCGACCCGAAGCAAUUCUUGAUGAGCUACGAAGCAACAGUGUCUUCGUACGGGGGCAACGCUGCAGUCAUGGCGAAGUCUUUCGUCAUGGCCGUCAGGAAUGUUGCUCAGACCUGGUAUUCCUCCCUUCGGCCAGGAACAAUCACUUCAUGGCAGAAGCUGAAGGAUAUGUUACUGACCAGCUUUCAAGGAUUUCAAACGAAGCCGGUUACAGCUCAAGCCCUCUUCCAGUGUAUUCAGGAUCACGAAGAAUACCUUCAGGCUUAUGUCCGAAGGUUCUUACGAUUGAGGGCGCAGGCACCAACGGUGCCCAAUGAAAUCGUUGUCGAAGCCAUGAUCAAGGGGCUUCGUCCUGGACCUGCAGCUCAAUACUUUGCUCGGAAGCCUCCUCAGACCUUGGAGAAAUUGCUCCAAAAGAUGGAUGAGUACAUUCGUGCCGACAAUGACUUUCGCCAAAGAAGGGAGGAGGCCUUCAGAUUUUCUGAGAUGACCAGGGGCUUCGGAGGAAGAUAUUACCCGAGGCAUGUCCGUUCCAUUCACAGCACUCAGAAUGAUGAUAAGGGGAGUCAGCAAAACAGGCCGCAGUGCUCCUCACAGGCUUCGGGGCAACAACAAACUUCCUUUCGGCCACCAGCUCCAAGAGGCAGAGGCGCCAGGGGCUUCGGCGGAAGAUUCGGAGAUCAGCCAAGGAGACUGUUUUGCCUAUUCUGUGGAGAGGGCAAGGGCCACACCACUAGGACGUGCCAUGUUACAAUCCAGAAGCAAAAGGAACUAGCCGAAGCUGCAUCUCAACAAGCUCAGUCGAAGCAGGUUUUGCAUACUGCUUCGUUUCAUCCGCCUUAUGUCCCACAAUACAUAGACAACCACCCUGCGGCUUCUGUAGCUUCGGCAAGUCAACCUCAAGCUUCCUGGCAGCAGCCUCCACCUCCACCUCCAUUGCAGCAAGGUCAACAGCCAGAAGGGAGUCAAUACGCUCCACAGCAGAGGGACUUCAGAGAACAGUCUGAAGCUCGCACAGUCAACAGCACUGUGCCAGAGUCGAAGCACAUUUAUUGACAUAUCCUACCUUUGAUAGCAGUCUUUUCUAUUCAGUUUUAUUUUCUGUGAAGCAAAAAACAUUGUUAGUUUCCAUGUAAUAAUUUCGUUGUUUCCACGAGAAAAAUUUAUUUGAUUCACAGGCCUAAGUUGUCGAAGCCUAAAAUUUCUUCCGUUACCAAGAAGGACCUUCGGACUAAAAAUCCUUCGGAGUAACAAAAAGUCGUUCUAAGGAACGCAGAGUAAGUUUAUAAAGUCACAAAAAGUCGUUCCAAAGGGAGCGCAGCGUAAGUUUUCUGCUCAGAAGUCGUUCCUAAAGGAAUGCAGAGCCUACAACGAAAAGUCAACGCUGAUACCGUCUAAGUAAAAGACGAAGAAGCUCCUAAGGGAGGCUUACAGCGAAAAGUCAACGCUGAUGCCGUCUAAGUAAAAGACGAAGAAGCUCCAAAGACGUUCCUAAGGGAAUGCAGAGCUUACGAAUAUAUUUUAUGUGUAUCUUCGGAACAAAUGUCACAUGCAUAACAUAACAUCAUCACAUCAUUUUGCAUAGCAUAAGCAUCAUACAUCAUAUCGCAUUUGGCAAGAGAAGGGGACACUCUAAACCUUCGAAGGGAUGCUUUGAAAAAGUAACAUUGAAAUUGUAUAGCUUCGGAAUACAGUUUUGGGGAAUAUUUUCACGAAGCAUGGGCGAGCUUUAUCAGAUCAAUAUCAAAAUUGCAUAGCUUCGGAAAAUAGCUUCGGAAAAUGUUUUCACGAGGCAUCGAUGUCAUUCAUCAGAACAAUUUUGACGAAGGCUAUCUUCUUCACGACGCAUGAAAAGAAGGGAAGGUGUUUUUUCGCCGAAGGCUCAAAAGUGGUAUGUAUUUAAAGUUUCAUGCAUCGUAAAGAAUUCAAUAAUGAAAAGAGACUUGUAUAUUACAUUCAAAUCUACAAAGUGUUGCAUAGAUUACACUUUAAAUGUUUUUUGCAAAUAGCACCUAAUCUUCCCUCAAUACUGCUUCGGCGGCUUUAUUCAGAAGUUGGUCAACGACCUUGUUCAUGAUAGUUUCGGCCAUCUGAUUAAUUUCUUCAUCCCCUUUUGUGUGGGGAGAUCGUCCAACAGCUUCUGAGCGUAGAGAACACUUCUUCAGUACUUUUGCAAAUCACGAGCAAAGUUUAAAAUGAAAAUUACAGCGCAACAAGAACGACUAGUUGGUACCUAACUGUCCUUCGGGCUCCCUACUCUUUUCGGCAGUCUCUGCCACUUUCCUAGCUUCGUGGAUGCCUUUUUCGCUCCUUUCGAUAAUUUCUUGUGCCAUUCCUCGGCCGCCGUCGUUCCAGAUAUCAGUAAAAAAUUUGCCAGCAACCACGCUUGCUUCGGCCGAGGGGUCCUUGAUAUCUUCGGAGCAUAAGGUAGCUUCGGACUGAGCUAAAAGUUUUACGUGCCCGCAACCCUUCUUCUCUAACACAGAAGUAAUUCCUCUAGCGCCUGAAAAAGCGCAUAUGUCGCCGCGGCUGUUUAGAAUUUCUUCGAAGGCCUCUGCUUCGUGGCGAAUCCAUUCCAGCGGAUCUUCGGGAUUGCCUUGAGAAAAAUUCUCUUCGCUGGAAAAGGCGCCGACGCUAGCAAAGCUGUUUUUAAUUUUAUUCACGCAUUCUAUAGAUUUAACAUAGCAUUUCCUCUGCGAUGUGCGAAGCUCCUUAACUCUUGAUUCCAAUUUGUUGACCAUAAAAUCACUAAGUUCACGAUUCGUUUCCUCAAGCGCGCGCUCCUCUUUCGCUCUAGCCAGUUGUUUCCGAAGAUCUUCAAUCUCGCGUUUUUGAGCUUCGGAUUGGGCCUUUGAAGCGGCCUCGUCUUUUUUCACUUUAUCCACCAAUGUAAGCAGAAUUUUAUCUUUUUCCAAAGCUUCAUUUCUCAGCUUGAUAACUUCGGAGCGUAAAUUAUUAAACGCAAUUUCAUAACUUUCAUCUUCGGCGCUCUUCUGCGCUCUUAGCGCGUUGCUUAGGAUCAGGCCCUAUACGAAAAAGAAUUCAAAUAAGGAAAAAGGAAUGAUGUGCGUAAAAAUAAUGGGGGGGUUUUUUCAAGCGUUCAAUUCCGGUACCUUCAAGCUGUUGUACGCAAGGCUGUCUGCGAGAUCCUCUUUCGUCAUGGCGCUUAGUCCAACUUCGAGCUUCGGGAAGCCUAUGCCCCUGGCCAUUUCUCGACAGACAGAUAGUUCCUUAUUAUCCGGUAGGCAGUAUAAAAAAUCAUCUUCAUUUGUCCCAUUGAAUAUUAUUGCCCCCUUUGGAUAUUUUAGCUCCUUUGCAUAAUGAUUAGCUUCAUGAAUUUCUCCGUCAGAUAGCUUUUUCCCCGAAGCAUGUCGAAUAAUGUAAUCACACAUGCUGGCAGGCGCUUCGGGGAUGGCAGUGUCAGUCUCUUCAAUUAAAAUUGGUUCUGGUAUUUUUAUCGCUUCGGUUUCCAAAGUUUCUUCCCUGAAGGGCUCUGAAGGCCCAGCUUCAGCUUCAGUUUGUUGUGUCGGAGCUUCAGAGGAAGCUUCAGCAAUUUCAACACUCUUUUUUGGAGUUGUGCUUGAAGACUUAAUUGUCUCCAAGACAUCUAGUACAUUUACCAUUCUUUUCCUUUUUGGGGUCACCAUUGGAGCCUUUUGGAUUUUUGCUGCUUCAAUAUUUAUUGCAGGACUUAAAGUUUCUGAGGUUUUUUCCUUAGUCAGAUUUUUCGCUUCUUCCAUUUUUUCUGUCGAUGGUGCUUCGGUCAUCUCUGCAAUUUCUGGCAAUAAGAGUGGCUGUUCAGCUUCAGCGGCCGAAGGAGUUCCUCCAGUAUACUCAGGCACCGAAGCUGGUUCAAUAUGGCGUGGUCGGUGUGUGAAGACCUUCAACCUUUUUCCUUUUGGGUCUAGCUCGCUAGGAGCAGUUCCAGCUUCUUCUUUUUCAGAUGUUAUGUUUUUCCUUUUUUGCCUUCGGACGGGAUAACAAUAAUCAGGGUAGAAGAACCCGAUUGCAUCAAACACUCGGUUCAAUCUCUUCUUUUUUCGGCCUCCGAAGGCUGCUGAUAGUGCAGUAUUUUCAGCCUUCGAGAAUGCCCCAAGUAAUUCAUCACUUAAUGUUUCAAUGCUUUUCAGCCAGUCAUCAUCAGGUUCAAUAAAUUUAUCUGCAUAUUUGAAUGUGUAUUUUAAUCUGACUAGUCCGCUUUCGUCGGACUCUUUGAUGGUUUCUUUCGGCAUUUCCCACUUUUCCGCAAGUGGCCAUAUCCUGAAGGCAAUAUGCUCCUGGACCAAGUCCCUUGUCCCAAUGAAGGAGCAGACUGCGCCGAAGGCUCUUUGGCAUUCUUCGGCUGCCUCAUCCAUUUCAACCUUCGGCCUUCGAAGUCCGAAGCGUUGCCAAAUUGGGUACAUAAUGAUACUUUUGACAUUAUUUUGCGCUGUUAGGUCAUUUUUCACAUAAAACCAUUCAGACAUCCAGGCUCCGGGCCACCUCUUCCGAAAGGUUGGCACAGGGUAGCUUGACCCGGAGCGGGCGCCGAAGCUGUAGCACCCAAAGUUGUUGUGGUAUUGCUCCUUUCCCCAGGGCUUCGUCUCGUACAAUAACUCGUGUAUGUUGCAGAAGCUUUUAGCGUUUGGUUCCAAACCUUGGCUUCUCACAGCCCAGACAAAAAUCCCCAUUCUUAUAAUAGCUUCGGGAGUGAGUUGAUGAAGGUAGAUUUGGAAUGUUUUCAGUACCUCAACAACAAAAUUGCUCAGGGGGAAUCGAAGCCCAGCCUUGAGGAGACUUCGGAAAAUCACAACUUCAUCUUCUUCAGGGGUGGGAGAAGUCUUUUCCCCGGCAUCAGCUCUCACAAUAGAUAUGUCUCGGAAGUAUCGCCCCCUCAUAUUAUCAAUGUGACUCUGCUUGAUGGUUGUUUUCCCAAAAACUGAGUGACUUGGUCGCCACGGUCGAUCUUCGGCCUCUUCCCCAUCACUUUCCACAUCAUAGCUAUCGCUGUCAUUAGUAUCUUCGGACAAACCUUCGAGAAUCUCCUUCGUGAUUUUCUCUGUAUUAGUCUCUGCCAUCGCUAUCAGGAACCCCAGAUUCUUCUCCUCCUCGAGACUCAGCUUCGUCUCAGCAGGGAUCUUCUUGUCUUCAGACAUCUUCGGAAACACUAAAAAUUUGUUCCCGAGGCCGAAGCUUCGAAAUCAAAAAGACCAGCAAAUCUCAAUGAGCAAGAGCUAAAAAUUUUUUAGUGGGCCGAAGCAAAAGGCAGGCGUGUGUACCAAAUGAAUUCACGGUGUGUUCUUAUUUAUACGCCUAGGGCGUUAAAAGUUAAAAGGCCCCGCUUGUCAGUGAAUGUUGCUAUUCUAGCAAAGGGAAGGUGUUUUUUCGGACCUUCGGCUCAAGGCCUUCGUCCAUAUCGCAAUCUGAAUUUAUUAUUUACAAAUUAAUAUUGCGAGGGGCUACUGUUGGGGGCCUUCGUCCUCCGAAGGUCCUCAAAAACAUGAUUUGACAAUGUUUUCCAAGUGAAUUAUAUGAACAGGUAUUUUCGGAUUCAGAAUUAUGGAUAUGGAGCACGACCAGGACGAAGGCUGAGCCAGACGAAGGUCGGGGGCAGCCGAAGCUGUACGCAGGGAAGCUUCGGCGCGAUGGCACAAGGGGGAACCGACCUUAAGACGAAAAGACUUCGGGGUCCUCAAUAGAUUUCCAUAAACCGUUAACAAAUGUAAUGGACAUGGAUGUAAUUUUACGUGGGCUGCGUCCCGCGUCUAUAAAUAGAUGAACAGUACUCCCGUACUGUUCACGCGAACUUGUCAUUUUGCUUUUGGCGUCACGCUCGUACUUUCCAUCUUCUCUCAGGAUCGAAGGUACAUUUGUAAUUUGGAAUCAUUUCUGUUUUUCCAUGUUAAUAAAAUAGAAAUGAUUCUUUGGUGAUGCUUAUAUCAUAUUUCAUGCUUUAUGUGAGUCCUUCGUCAUUAUGUGUUAUGAUUACGAAGGUAUGUUUCUCAUGACCUUCGUCCGAGACUCAUUAUUUCCCAAAGGGAUAUAACGCUUCGAAGGACGAAGGACCCUAACACUUAACACUUUUUAUGUUGCCUUGUUCUUAACUCUUAGAAUUUGAGAACAAGUCCCCAACAGGUAUUAAUUUGGCCAUUGCGUUUAGCAUAAGAUAAAGUUAUGUUCCAUAUUUAAUCAUUAUAAGCAGAUAAAGGUGAAUUAAAGGAAAUGGUCGCGCGGUGAGACGCGCGACACAACAUUUAAAUUGAAUUAAGAAAUAAGCGAUUCGUCGCGCGACAGAGCGCGCAACGCGACACUUGCAAUAAUUUUAAAGAGAUGUUAGGCGUCGCGUGAUGAAACGCACGAUGGCAUACGUCAACUGAACUGAAUUUAAAAUGAAAUAUCGCGCGACGAAGCGCGCGACACAGAUCAUUAACAAAGAUGAACUUAAAUUGAAUCGUCGCGCGACGAAGCGCGCGACACAGCACAUCGACUAAACUAAAAUUGAAAAAGGGAUAAAGCUGAAAGUCGAACGUCGAGCAACUACAGUUGCGUGCGCGCGAACACGCUGCGCGCGUGCCAGGGGCACGCGAGGCCACGUCGGGGCAUGCGACAGGGCCGCUAGGGCGCACGACUGUCGGGACGUGCGGCGCGGGGGCGCGCGGGAUGCGGCACGGGGGCCGAGCGCGCGGAACGCGGACGCCGGGGCACGGGGCCGAGCCGCAGGGGGCGCGCGGGGCCGCGGGGCGAGCGGGGCCACCGGGGGACGCGCGGGCGCGGGGCCACAGGCGAGCAGGGCCGCCGGGGGCGCGGAGGGUCGUGGGGCGAGCUGCCGUCGCCGGGGCGAUGAUUGAGUUGAGUGCUCUUGUGCUAGCAAACUGAAAUUCCUGUAUGUACAGUUUUGGUUGUGCAAGUAAUCUAGUAAAGUAAAGUAUGUUUUCUGUAGAUAUCUGCUAUACAAAAGUUGUAGUUCACUUGUUUAUCUAGCUCAUCCUAAAAAUUCAUGAGCUAAGAAAUGAUAGUUUAGAAGUUAUGCUUUUCACAAGUUCAGUGACUGAAUAUGUCCAAUUUAUGUACAGAUUUUAGAGAUUGCAAUGGUUGUUUAAGUAAAUUUUAAAAUCAGUUUUUGAUGAUUUUAAGAAAGCUGUAGAUAAUUUUUUUAUCUUUCUUUUGUUAAAAUUUCAUUACUAUAGGCCUGAUAGUUUAAGAGUUAUGAAUUUUACAAUAUGAUUGUUGUGUUCUGUCCACUGUCUAGACAGAUUUUGAAAACUCUAUUGUUUGAUUUGGUUAAACAUAGAAUCACUUCUUGGUGAUUAUAAAAGUUAUGUAGUGCUUUUGCUAAGCUUUCCAAGUCUUGGAUCACUCUUUUUGGUGGUAUGAAGGUUAAGUUAUAGGCGUUUGAAGUGUGAAGUCUGAAUCUGUCCAAAUCUGGACAGCAAAGCCGUCUAAUGUCUUUUAUCCUUAGUUACAUAUUGAAUCACCUUGAGAUGUUUAUAAUUGUUUUGUUGGUAAUUUCAUUAUCUUUCUAGAAAAUUUGGGAUCACCUGAUUUGGGUGCAUGAAUGCCUAGUUAGGAAAUUUUGUAUUCAGAGGUCUGAAUCUGUACAAAUCUGGAUAGCGCUGUCGUGUUAGCACUUUUUGAUCUUGCUAAGUGUUGAAUCUUGUUGAGAUAAAAAUACCAAAGUUGUAGAGCACUUUUUAAGCUUUCUAGAAAGUCAUAGUUUGGUAUUUCUGAAUUAAUAUCUGGAGAGUUAUGAUUAAAACAAGUGACUGGUGUGCUGCUGUCCAAAAAUCUGCAAGUGCUCAUUUGAUUGUUUAGUUCACCCUUUUAGCUAAAAAUGUUUGGUUAGCACUUAAUUAAUAUAGACUUGCCAUGGCUAAGCUUAAGAUAGCAAGUGUGUCAUGUUUUAUAAGUUGCUUUCACUAGUUGAUUGUGAUAUAGGAGUUCCAUAGACAUUUAUGCCUAUGUCCUCUGUUAAACUUGUGUUGUCUAUGAUACUUUUGUGUAAUCAAUAGAAGAACUAAUAAAAAGCCGUAGCAAAUCAAAUAAAUGCUUGUACUCGUGAUGUCGAGUUUGUGGUGGUUAUGUAUAUGAUAGUCUUCGUUGGUUUCUUAGUAGUGUUAAAUUCGUAGGUCGAUGGCGUAUGGCUAGUUAGUACCUAUGUAUGGUCGUUGGUGGUACCGUGUUUUGCUCCUAAUAUCUAGCUCGAUACCGUGUACCUUGGAGUGUCUUGUGCUAUUUUCCAUCCUGUUCAUACAUAUGCCUCUUGCAUCUCAUUUAGGACCGAGAGAUGCUGAUCACGCGAAAUGAAGAACGUAAAGUGGAGCCGACCACAAGGCAAAGUUGAUGGAUGACCCGAAGAAGGAUGGAAUUAACCAGUGGAUGCUCACCAAGCGAGUAUCGUCUAUCAAACACUAUCUAGUGUGGAUUCCAGGCAAGCCCCGGUUUUAUGCAUAACCGUUUAUAUAUGCUAUUUUACCUGCACUUAAUGUUUGUAGGCUUGUACCGUGAACUUAAGUGUAGGAAUUCCCUAAAACCCUAGUUGCAUAAACUCAGGAUUCCUUUCUGAGAUGGAUACUAGUAUGCUAGGUCGAGUAGCUACUUUGCUAAUUAGGGAUCUCGGUAGAAGUCGAGUGAUUUUUCUAGCACUCGCGCGAGGUCAGGAAUUGGUUGUAUCCAUUUUGAUAACGAAAUGAUGAUGGUCUGUGGACACGGAUCCAUGGGGAUACGCUGUCUAUCAGACGAAAUUGUAAUAAGGAUUAACGUGCGAAUACCUAUGUCAAGCGUUUGAACAUACUAAACACAUGUCGAGAAAUAUGGUAACCGAUAAGCCUAGUACCUGAUUGAACCUAUCCGUAGCCUUUAUCCCUCAUUGGACCUGAGACGGAGUCUCCCAUGCCGGAUUAUGGUGGGUACAAGUGUGGUCACUGCACGGCGGCAACCGGGGCAGUGGAGCAUUGUAUGCCAAGGCCGUGAGCCCUAUUAUGUUGCUAGGGGAUCGAUGGGGACGGUUGACGUGUGUGGGGACGGAGUGCCCUGACAUGUCGUGUGUUUAGGUUUACCUUGCAAGGUUAAAACUCGAUUCGAAUCGUCUGCUUCUUGCAGCUAAUGAGACUCCUUCAUCCAUUGUACUGCAUUGAUUAAAAAGUGGAAAUCAGGUUACUUUCAAAAGGAUGUUGACUGACAUAAUUCUUGAUACCAUGUAUGGAUAGUUAGGUGCUCAUCUAGUCUAAAAAUAUUAUUCUAGAACUUGAAAAGCUAAAACUUGUUUUAGACUCAGCUAGUGCUUUUGGCAAACCAAACCCCUCAGCCAACAGGUUCAUGGUCUAGAGGUAUAGGAGUAGACUUCUCACAUCGGGUAAGUCUAGUUGAGUAUUAGUAUACUCAGCCUUGCUUAUGGCAUAAUUUUUAUAGGUACCUCCUUUGGAUCAAUGGUUGUUGGUGUGACUUGGCCUUCAUCCUUGCCACCGGGAUAGACGGUCGAGUGGUUUACUACUUCCGCAGGAGAGGUCCAGGAGGAGUAGCAUGGCCAGGCUUUGCCAUGUUACUCGGUUUUCUCCGUUAGUUAUUUCCCCUGCAUUAAAACUACAGUUAAGGUUUCUGAAACUCCGAUGAUGUAAUCACUACUGGUACUUCCUUAAUCUAUGGUAUUAUGCUUUAUUGUA
rnacentral:lncRNA from 1 species